UCCUCCAAAGCACAGGGCACCGCCACUGACACAGCCAGCGCUCCACACACGCCUGAGGAAUUGACUCCAAAUGUGUGACAACUGAAGCAAAUCACAAGGAAAGUAGAACUGUGCAGUAUGCCAGGAAUGCAAGACCACAUGUUGGAAAGAACAAGAAAUGGAAAAGGUGGAAACACAAACUCAGCUUACGUAAUCUGCUCAAGGUCACAGAGCUCAGAAGCAGCAGGAUUGGAACCCUCUCUUCAACAGGUCUCUGCACUUUUCUUCUUCCCUGAACACACCCAGAUUAAAUGUAACCAUCACGUGGAUCAG
rnacentral:lncRNA from 1 species